rnacentral:lncRNA from 1 species
GGGACUGGAUGAUACCACUGCAGAGAUGAAUGGAUAUGGAAAAGAUGACCAAGAACUGAGUCUAAGGCACUUCAACUGAAAGAGGGUUGGAAGAAGAGAGGGGACCUGCAAUGGAGACUUGGAAGAAGCAACUACAUUGGAAUAAAACCAAGAAGGAGACUUGAUAGAAUGCACUCCAUGUAAACAAGAAGACUCAAGAUUUAAGAAACAAGGCCACCAUCACUGGACAUAGAAAAAGAGGAUCCUCAGAAUCAAAUCUAUAGGAAAUUUCAAGGUAGAAGAUACUGCAACAGACUUAGAGAGUGACUAGAUGACUGGCUCAAGAGACCAGAGGGCUCCAGGAGUGACUGUUCUGGGAGGAAGAAAUGGAUUUAACCAAUUACUUGACAUGGAAACUGAAACUGAAUUUGGGAAGAAUUAGGGUUAUUAACAGAAAAGCAAGACAAUUACUAACUUAAGAAAAUAAGCUGAGUAGGAAAGAAAUGUAAUAAUAGCCCAGAUUUGAAAAAAAUAUUUACAUAGUCAUAUUAAUGUGAGCACUGAACACUGAUUUAAUAAAUGAUGGUAAAACAAUAAUGAGAUGAUGUAGGGAGAGAAACACACAUGGCAGAAGUGGUAAAAGUGGGCUAAAUCUUCGCAGUUCAUUAUAGAAAGUCAAUAGAUGAUGUACAGUUGCUAAAUCAAUCACAAAACAGCAGAAUAAUUGUAUAUGAAUUUACUGAAAAAGCUGAACAUUGGUGUGGGCUCCAUUUAAAGGUAGAACUUAAAUUAGGCAAGUGGGAGGAUAAUGGUUAUGUUAGAAAAAGUUACAUAAUAACUAACAAAGAUCAGGAACUGGGAAACGGAGCUAUAAAAAAGUAUACCAAUUUCAAAAUAUUUUAUGAUAGGGAAGAAAUAGGGUGGCCAGAAAAAGGGAAACAAAUAUUUUUUAAAACUGUACAAUCUCCUAAUGUUUUGCAUAAUCUUAUUCCCUUAUCCAUAGAAAUUCUAGAAAUGGAUAGCCCUCAAAUUUUUUGAACAUUGUAUAAAGUUUAGCAAAGUCUUUUAGCUUCAAAAAUUCUUUUGCUUUUUAAAAAUUUUAAGUAAAUAUCAUAUAAUUAUUUAAAUAAAAUUUAAUAUGCUCUGUAUCAAUCUAUCACCUAUCUUAUAUAUCUAAACCAUUUAUCCAUCUAUCUUUUUGUCUGCAUAUGUACUAAUUGAGCAACAUCUAGAAUGAGCUUCACCUAAUGUUAAUGAUGAUGCUUCUAAGUGAUGAGACUUGGAAUUAUUUUUUACACUUGUCUUUUUACUUUUUGUAUUGAUUAGAAUUGUUUAAUAAUAAUUAUAUUCAUAUUAAAGUAUCUUUAGAGUCUUGAAAUUGAAGACUUAUUUUUGAAUGAAUUUUAUGGCUU